rnacentral:rRNA from 1 species
CAGCCGCCGCGGUAAUACGAAGGGGGCUAGCGUUGUUCGGAAUCACUGGGCGUAAAGGGCGCGUAGGCGGCCAUUCAAGUUAGAUGUGAAAGCCCUGGGCUCAACCUAGGAAUUGCAUUUGAUACUGUUUAGCUUGGGUUCGGGAGAGGUGAGUGGAAUUCCCAGUGUAGAGGUGAAAUUCGUAGAUAUUGGGAAGAGCACCAGUGGCGAAGGCGGCUCACUGGACCGACACUGACGCUGAGGCGCGAAAGCUAGGGGAGCAAACAGGAUUAGAGACCCCUGUAGUCCCUGUCUCUUAUAC